rnacentral:rRNA from 1 species
UACGGAGGAUGCAAGCGUUAUCCGGAAUGAUUGGGCGUAAAGCGUCCGCAGGUGGCAAUGUAAGUUGCUGUCAAAGCGUCUGGCUCAACCAGAUAAAGGCAGUGGAAACUACAUAGCUAGAGUAAGGUAGGGGUAGAGGGAAUUCCUGGUGUAGCGGUGAAAUGCGUAGAGAUCAGGAAGAACACCGGUGGCGAAAGCGCUCUGCUGGACCUUAACUGACACUGAGGGACGAAAGCUAGGGGAGCGAAUGGG